CAGUGGGGGAAUAUUGCACAAUGGGCGCAAGCCUGAUGCAGCCAUGCCGCGUGUAUGAAGAAGGCCUUCGGGUUGUAAAGUACUUUCAGCAGUGAGGAAGGUGGGUAUGUUAAUAGCAUAUUCAUUUGACGUUAGCUGCAGAAGAAGCACCGGCUAACUCCGUGCCAGCAGCCGCGGUAAUACGGAGGGUGCGAGCGUUAAUCGGAAUUACUGGGCGUAAAGCGCAUGCAGGUGGUUUGUUAAGUCAGAUGUGAAAGCCCCGGGGCUCAACCUCGGAAUUGCAUUUUGAAACUGGCAAACUAGAGUACUGUAGAGGGGGUAGAAUUUCAGGUGUAGCGGUGAAAUGCGUAGAGAUCUGAAGGAAUACCGGUGGCGAAGGCGGCCCCCUGGACAGAUACUGACACUCAGAUGCGAAAGCGUGGGGAGCAAACAGGAUUAGAUACCCUGGUAG
rnacentral:rRNA from 1 species